rnacentral:lncRNA from 1 species
UUUUUUUUUUGCUUCUUUUAGCCCAAUGAAGAAAGAAACUUACUUGAAGAAGCAAAAGGUUUUGAGCCUUCUGGAAUAAUGGCAUCUCAGAAAAAGGCUGAAGAACCAGUUCCAUCUCCUAAACCAGAAGUGAUGAAUACAGCACUGCAGAAUUCCGAUCUACUUCCAACAAAAGAUCAAAAGACACUUCUGGACUUGGAAGAUGACCUGGAUAACUUGGACCUGGAGGAUAUUGAUACCACAGAUAUCAAUUUGGAUGAAGAGAUCUUAGAUGAGUGAAUACACUUCUUAAAUGACCAAAUCAACUACUUUUACUCCAGAUAAAGGAAUGAAGUUCUAUGGACUGCAUCCUCCAUGUUAACUUGAUUUUUAUACACAAGAUGGACCAUGUAGUGAGAGGGGAAGACCUAGCAACUGUACAAAAAAUCAGUUUUCAGGGUGGUGAAAUUCAAGAUGUAGGCCUGUUCUAGUGCAUAUUGAAAAUGUUUUCAUUUACAAACCAAUUCAAUAAACCCUUUUAAAUACUCUAUUCCCA